rnacentral:rRNA from 1 species
AGGACGAACGCUGGCGGCGUGACUUCAAACAUGCAAGUCGAACGGAGUUAAGUGAAAGCUUGCUUUUACUUAACUUAGUGGCGGACUGGUGAGUAACGCGUGAACAAUCUGCCUAUCACAGGGGGAUAACAGUUGGAAACGACUGCUAAUACCGCAUAAGACCACAGGGUGGCAUCACCUAGGGGUCAAAGGAGUUAAAUCUGGUGAUAGAUGAGUUUGCGUAUCAUUAGCUAGUUGGUGAGGGUAAAGGCCCACCAAGGCAACGAUGAUUAGCCGAUCUGAGAGGAUGACCGGCCACACUGGGACUGAGAUACGGCCCAGACUCCUACGGGAGGCAGGCAGUUAGGAAUAUUGGGCAAUGGAGGAAACUCUGACCCAAGCAACGCCGCGUGAAGGAAGAAGGUUUUCGGACUGUAAACUUCUGAUCUGAGGGAAAAGAAAGUGAUGGUACCUCAGGAGAAAGCCACGGCUAACUACGUGCCAGCAGCUGC